rnacentral:rRNA from 1 species
UACGUAGGGGGCAAGCGUUAUCCGGAUUUACUGGGUGUAAAGGGAGCGUAGACGGAAUUGCAAGUCUGAUGUGGAAAUCCGGGGCCCAACCCCGGAACUGCAUUGGAAACUGUAUUUCUAGAGUGUCGGAGAGGCAAGUGGAAUUCCUGGUGUAGCGGUGAAAUGCGUAGAUAUUAGGAGGAACACCAGUGGCGAAGGCAUCUCACGAAUCCGCUAUUGACGCUGAUGCACGAAAGCGUGGGUAUCAAACAGG